UCUGGUCUUGGGACACUGUCAGGUGGGCAGUUUGACUGGGGCGGUCGCCUCCCAAAAGGUAACGGAGGCGCUCAAAGGUUCUCUCAGUACGGUCGGCAAUCGUACGUAGAGUGUAAAGGCAAAAGAGAGCUUGAUUGCAAGACAUACAGGUCGAGCAAGGAUGAAAAUCGGACUUAGUGAUCCGGUGGUUCUGCGUGGAAGGGCCAUCGCUCAACGGAUAAAAGCUACCCUGGGGAUAACAGGCUUAUCUCCCCCAAGAGUCCACAUCGACGGGGAGGUUUGGCACCUCGAUGUCGGCUCAUCACAUCCUGGGGCUGUAGUAGGUCCCAAGGGUUGGGCUGUUCGCCCAUUAAAGUGGUACGCGAGCUGGGUUCAGAACGUCGUGAGACAGUUCGGUCCCUAUCCGUCGCAGGCGUAGGAAAUUUGAGAAGACCUGUCCUUAGUACGAGAGGACCGGGAUGGACGUACCUCUGGUGUACCAGUUGUCCUGCCAAGGGCAUGGCUGGGUAGCUAUGUACGGAAUGGAUAAGCGCUGAAAGCAUCUAAGCGCGAAGCCAACUUCAAGAUAAGAUUUCCCACCGCAAGGGUAAGACCCCAGAAAGACUAUCUGGUUGAUAGGUCGAAGGUGUAAGUGCAGCAAUGUAUUUAGCUUAUCGAUACUAAUAGGUCGAGGACUUGACCAAU
rnacentral:rRNA from 1 species